ACCAGUUGAAUAUAGUUCACGCGUCUCUCCUUGAGUUGCUGUAAAGCAUGUCUGGCUUCUGCCUGUAGAGGAAAGGCUAGACCCUGUAAAGUCUGUGGCUUCGUUUCUACACCCACCUCCGUUAUCACCUGCAGGGGGAGACAAACACACACAGGACUUAAUUCAAUGUGGUAGCAUGAACCACAACAAUGGCAUGGACAAGAACUAGAACAAGGACAGGAACAAAGACAAUGACAAGGGCAAGAACAGGAGCAGUGACAUGAUCAAGGACAAGAGUACAGACAGACAUGACCAACAAGGAGGGGUGCAAACAAGGGGAACAGCUGGAGUUCCUGCUCAGCAUGUGUGAGAGGAGCAGGGGUGGAGUUUGAUGAAUCAUGUC